rnacentral:lncRNA from 1 species
GAGAUAUUUUAGUCAACUAUCUGCACUGUACAUCAUACUGAUGAAAUAAGGAACAUAUACAUAAACUCUACUAGUUGAGAACGGUUUAGAAAACAAAUUAAAAAUUAAGUCCCAAGUUUUUAGACAUACUUCUUGGUUUAAGAAAUAUUGGUCAAAAAGGUCCCUGUGUUUUCAUCAUUCAAACAAUCAUUUUGUUUAGAAGAGAUAAGAUAUCUUGAGCACCACUUCCUAAACCAGUAUCCAUG